GUGCUCACUUCAGCAGCACAUAUGCUGAAGUUGGAAUGUUACAGAGAAGAUUAGCAUGGCCCCCGAGCAAGGAUGACACACAAAUUUGUAAAGCACUCCAUAUUUUU
rnacentral:snRNA from 1 species